UGCAGUCGAACGCGUUGGCCCAAUUGAUUGAUGGUGCUUGCACCUGAUUGAUUUUGGUCGCCAACGAGUGGCGGACGGGUGAGUAACACGUAGGUAACCUGCCCAGAAGCGGGGGACAACAUUUGGAAACAGAUGCUAAUACCGCAUAACAGCGUUGUUCGCAUGAACAACGCUUAAAAGAUGGCUUCUCGCUAUCACUUCUGGAUGGACCUGCGGUGCAUUAGCUUGUUGGUGGGGUAACGGCCUACCAAGGCGAUGAUGCAUAGCCGAGUUGAGAGACUGAUCGGCCACAAUGGGACUGAGACACGGCCCAUACUCCUACGGGAGGCAGCAGUAGGGAAUCUUCCACAAUGGGCGCAAGCCUGAUGGAGCAACACCGCGUGAGUGAAGAAGGGUUUCGGCUCGUAAAGCUCUGUUGUUAAAGAAGAACACGUAUGAGAGUAACUGUUCAUACGUUGACGGUAUUUAACCAGAAAGUCACGGCUAACUACGUGCCAGCAGCCGCGGUAAUACGUAGGUGGCAAGCGUUAUCCGGAUUUAUUGGGCGUAAAGAGAGUGCAGGCGGUUUUCUAAGUCUGAUGUGAAAGCCUUCGGCUUAACCGGAGAAGUGCAUCGGAAACUGGAUAACUUGAGUGCAGAAGAGGGUAGUGGAACUCCAUGUGUAGCGGUGGAAUGCGUAGAUAUAUGGAAGAACACCAGUGGCGAAGGCGGCUACCUGGUCUGCAACUGACGCUGAGACUCGAAAGCAUGGGUAGCGAACAGGAUUAGAUACCCUGGUAGUCCAUGCCGUAAACGAUGAGUGCUAGGUGUUGGAGGGUUUCCGCCCUUCAGUGCCGGAGCUAACGCAUUAAGCACUCCGCCUGGGGAGUACGACCGCAAGGUUGAAACUCAAAGGAAUUGACGGGGGCCCGCACAAGCGGUGGAGCAUGUGGUUUAAUUCGAAGCUACGCGAAGAACCUUACCAGGUCUUGACAUCUUGCGCCAACCCUAGAGAUAGGGCGUUUCCUUCGGGAACGCAAUGACAGGUGGUGCAUGGUCGUCGUCAGCUCGUGUCGUGAGAUGUUGGGUUAAGUCCCGCAACGAGCGCAACCCUUGUUACUAGUUGCCAGCAUUAAGUUGGGCACUCUAGUGAGACUGCCGGUGACAAACCGGAGGAAGGUGGGGACGACGUCAGAUCAUCAUGCCCCUUAUGACCUGGGCUACACACGUGCUACAAUGGACGGUACAACGAGUCGCGAACUCGCGAGGGCAAGCAAAUCUCUUAAAACCGUUCUCAGUUCGGACUGCAGGCUGCAACUCGCCUGCACGAAGUCGGAAUCGCUAGUAAUCGCGGAUCAGCAUGCCGCGGUGAAUACGUUCCCGGGCCUUGUACACACCGCCCGUCACACCAUGAGAGUUUGUAACACCCAAAGUCGGUGGGGUAACCUUUAGGAGCC
rnacentral:rRNA from 2 species